AAACCUAUAGUUUCGGGGAUUAUCCGAUAAAAAUUGAACGAUACAGAGAGGAUUAGCAUGGCCCCUGUGCAGGGAUGACGCACAUAAAUCGAGAAGUGUACCAAGUAAAC
rnacentral:snRNA from 1 species